rnacentral:rRNA from 1 species
GACAGAGGGUGCAAACGUUGUUCGGAAUUACUGGGCGUAAAGCGCGUGUAGGCGGCCCUGCAAGUCGGGUGUGAAAUCCCACGGCUCAACCGUGGAAGUGCACUCGAAACUGCAGGGCUAGAGUCCUGGAGAGGAAGGUGGAAUGCUUGGUGUAGAGGUGAAAUUCGUAGAUAUCAAGCGGAACACCGGUGGCGAAGGCGGCCUUCUGGACAGUGACUGACGCUGAGACGCGAAAGCAUGGGGAGCGAACAGG